rfam:Fonticula alba strain ATCC 38817 unplaced genomic scaffold supercont2.11, whole genome shotgun sequence.
CAGCCCUGAGCUUCACAUCCCAAAGAUGCAAUUUUCGCCUUUUACUAGAAUUGCCUUGAUGCGAGGUUCGCUCAACUGGGCCUAGAAGAAUAUUUGGAACAGUCUCUCCUAGACUUC